rnacentral:rRNA from 1 species
UACUUAGUGGCGGACGGGUGAGUAACGCGUGGGUAACCUGCCUCAUACAGGGGGAUAACAGUUAGAAAUGACUGCUAAUACCGCAUAAGACCACGGUACCGCAUGGUACAGUGGUAAAAACUCCGGUGGUAUGAGAUGGACCCGCGUCUGAUUAGGUAGUUGGUGGGGUAACGGCCUACCAAGCCGACGAUCAGUAGCCGACCUGAGAGGGUGACCGGCCACAUUGGGACUGAGACACGGCCCAG